rnacentral:rRNA from 1 species
GACGAACGCUGGCGGCGUGCCUAAUACAUGCAAGUUGAGCGCUGAAGGUUGGUACUUGUACCAACUGGAUGAGCAGCGAACGGGUGAGUAACGCGUGGGGAAUCUGCCUUUGAGCGGGGGACAACAUUUGGAAACGAAUGCUAAUACCGCAUAAAAACUUUAAACACAAGUUUUAAGUUUGAAAGAUGCAAUUGCAUCACUCAAAGAUGAUCCCGCGUUGUAUUAGCUAGUUGGUGAGGUAAAGGCUCACCAAGGCGAUGAUACAUAGCCGACCUGAGAGGGUGAUCGGCCACAUUGGGACGGGGACACGGCCCAAACUCCUACGGGAGGCAGCAGUAGGGAAUCUUCGGCAAUGGACGAAAGUCUGACCGAGCAACGCCGCGUGAGUGAAGAAGGUUUUCGGAUCGUAAAACUCUGUUGGUAGAGAAGAACGUUGGUGAGAGUGGAAAGCUCAUCAAGUGACGGUAACUACCCAGAAAGGGACGGCUAACUACGUG